rnacentral:ncRNA from 2 species
GUUUUCAAGGAGCGCUGCAGCGGGCCAUCCAGUGCCUGUCAGGCUUGAAGACACCGGUUCCCUCCAACGGCGCUCACCUGUU